rnacentral:rRNA from 1 species
GUGAGGAAUAUUGGUCAAUGGGCGGGAGCCUGAACCAGCCAAGUCGCGUGAAGGAAGAAGGAUCUAUGGUUCGUAAACUUCUUUUGCAGGGGAAUAAAGUGCAGGACGUGUCCUGUUUUGUAUGUACCCUGAGAAUAAGGAUCGGCUAACUCCGUGCCAGCAGCCGCGGUAAUACGGAGGAUCCGAGCGUUAACCGGAUUUAUUGGGUUUAAAGGGUGCGUAGGUGGUUUGAUAAGUCAGCGGUGAAAGUUUGCAGCUUAACUGUAAAAAUGCCGUUGAAACUGUCGGACUUGAGUGUAAAUGAGGUAGGCGGAAUGCGUGGUGUAGCGGUGAAAUGCAUAGAUAUCACGCAGAACUCCGAUUGCGAAGGCAGCUUACUAAGCUACAACUGACACUGAAGCACGAAAGCGUGGGGAUCAAACAGGAUUAGAAACCCCUGUAGUCC